AAAUCUCAAGGAGUUGAUACUGCAACCUAUGGAUCUUCCAAGGUUGUGGGCACCCAAGCUCCAGUUGAGCUAGGUUCCCUCCGUGCUGCUGAUGGCAAGGAAUAAGUUGAUUCCUUCUGUCAUCAUUUCAAUUGGAAGCCAAUCCAUCUGCUAUGACAUUGCUGCAUUAUGUAUUAUGGCGUCGUAGAAGAUGUGUUAGAUUCUGGUAAUUGUUGGCGUUUCUUGGUUUUAGUUUGAACAUGUCAAUGUAAUCUAUUACCCCAUGGUCUUGUGAAGGGGAUAGUUUAAUAGUUCAUCUAUAUUUAUCAGUCGUUCGAGAAGAUCUCAAUGUGAGAACUGAAUAACUGCCAGUGGAUCCUCUCUUGUUUUUUUUACCUAGUUCAGGAUCUUGCUGUUGUGCUGUUGGUGAUCAUGUAAUCAAAAUUUUAACCUUGAUAAGGUUUAAAGAUAUGUGAGAUUUCAU
rnacentral:misc_RNA from 1 species